rnacentral:lncRNA from 10 species
CUGACAUACAGAGUGAUGUCUCUAAUGGAUCUGGGCAAAAUCAAUUGAAAACCUUUGGGAAAAGAUUCACCAUUCUAGAUGCCAUUGAGAACAUUUGUGCUUCAUGGGAGGAGGUCAAAAUAUCCAAUUAAGAGAAGUUUGGAAGAAGUUUAUUCCAAUCCUCAUGGUUGAGUUUGAGGGCUUCAUGUCUUUAGUGAAAGAAGUGACUGCAGAUGUGAUGGAAACAGCAAGAGAACUGAAUGAGAAGGGGAGCCUGAAGAUGUGACUGAAUUGCUGCAAUCUCCUGAUAAACCUUGAAUGGAUGAGUUGCUUCUUUUUUUUUUGAGAUGGAGUCUUGCUCUGUCACCCAGGCUGGAGUGCAGUGGCACAAUCUUGGCUCAGUGCAACCUCCGCUUG